AUGGCAGCACACUCGUGAGGCGGUGCAAUGGCGGAUCGGUCCCCUGAAGGGAGUGUGGGGCAAGCGGGGCCCUUCCUGGCCCCAGGGAGGGGAUUACAUGGGCGCUUUAGCUGUGGGGAUGAUUAAAAUAUUAUCCUGACUUUACAAAGGGGGCAAAAAUAGCUGGGAGUGUUGCUUUUUAGGAGAAGAUGGAGCUGCUUCUCUCACUUUGUGGGCUGUGGAAGGACAGGAGAGACCAGAGCAGGAGGAGCUGGUGAAGGCAGCAGUGCAAUGGCCUGAUCCUGAGCACUUUCCUGUGGAAAAACAUGAAGGUUAGUGAUAGACAUUUUACUGAGGGGUUUGUUGCUGCACACCACCAUGGCUGACUAAUUAAAAUAUGUGGUUAACUGUACGAUUAUGAAUGCUUAUAGUUGCUUAAGUUAAGGAAAAACGGGAAACUAGUUGAAGCUUCUGGCUAAUUUAUAAGAAUAUAAAAAUGUCCAGGGGGAAAAAAUAUCUUUUUCUGUUUGUUCUCUGAGGGAUUAUAAAGCAUGAAUAGUCUUUAAUGUUCAAUUGAGAAUUAAAGUUGGGAAUUGCACUUUUCUUCUAAAACAGCAAUAAAGAAUUUUGUUCUGA